UACGAAGGGACCUAGCGUAGUUCGGAAUUACUGGGCUUAAAGAGUUCGUAGGUGGUUGAAAAAGUUGGUGGUGAAAUCCCAGAGCUUAACUCUGGAACUGCCAUCAAAACUUUUCAGCUAGAGUAUGAUAGAGGAAAGCAGAAUUUCUAGUGUAGAGGUGAAAUUUGUAGAUAUUAGAAGAAUACCAAUUGCGAAGGCAGCUUUCUGGAUCAUUACUGACACUGAGGAACGAAAGCAUGGGUAGCGAAGAGGAUUAGAUACCCUCGUAGUCCAUGCCGUAAACGAUGAUUACUCGCUGUUAGCGAUAUACAGUUAGCGGCCAAGCGAAAGCAUUAAGUAAUCCACCUGGGGAGUACGCCGGCAACGGUGAAACUCAAAGGAAUUGACGGGGGCCCGCACAAGCGGUGGAGCAUGUGGUUUAAUUCGAUGAUACGCGAGGAACCUUACCAGGGUUUAAAUGGAAAUUGACAGACGCCGAAAGGUGUCUUUCUUCGGACAAUUUUCAAGGUGCUGCAUGGUU
rnacentral:rRNA from 1 species